rnacentral:rRNA from 1 species
GACGAACGCUGGCGGCGUGCUUAACACAUGCAAGUCGAACGGAAAGGCCCUGCUUUUGUGGGGUGCUCGAGUGGCGAACGGGUGAGUAACACGUGAGUAACCUGCCCUUGACUUUGGGAUAACUUCAGGAAACUGGGGCUAAUACCGGAUAGGAGCUCCUGCUGCAUGGUGGGGGUUGGAAAGUUUCGGCGGUUGGGGAUGGACUCGCGGCUUAUCAGCUUGUUGGUGGGGUAGUGGCUUACCAAGGCUUUGACGGGUAGCCGGCCUGAGAGGGUGACCGGCCACCAUGGGACUGAGAUACGGACCAGACUCCUACGGGAGGCAGCAGUGGGGAAUAUUGCACAAUGGGCGGAAGCCUGAUGCAGCAACGCCGCGUGCGGGAUGACGGCCUUCGGGUUGUAAACCGCUUUCGCCUGUGACGAAGCGUGAGUGACGGUAAUGGGUAAAGAAGCACCGGCUAACUACGUG